GGCAUAAGUAACGAUAAGGCGGGUGAGAAACCCGCCCACCGAUAGACUAAGGUUUCCUGAUCAACGCUAAUCGGAUCAGGGUUAGUCGGGACCUAAGGCGAACCCGAAAGGGGUAGUCGAUGGACAACGGGUUAAUAUUCCCGUACUACCGCAUAGAGCGAUGGGGUGACGGAGUAGUGAAAGUCUCGCGUACUGACGGAAUAGUACGUUGAAGGGUGUAGUUAUAGGCUGUGUAGGCAAAUCCGCACGGCUUGAUGAACC
rnacentral:rRNA from 1 species